rnacentral:miRNA from 1 species
AGUAACUCACCUAAGGUCACAAAUAGUAAGUGGCAGAGCCAGGAUUCAAACCCAGGCAGGCUGGUUCCAGAACCUAUACUGUAACCACCUCCCUAUAUUGCUUCUUG